ACUCACAGUGGCUCCCCAUUCCCUGUCAGAUCAAACCCCAGCUUGACUUCACUCAGGACCGGUGUGCUCUCUGUUCAGUCCCAUCUUGUCUGACCUUACUUCCAUCCUGGCCACCUUGGUGUCCAGGCAUGCCCAAUGUCCAAGCCUGCUUUCUUCCCUGCUGGUACCCACUACAUACCUGCUGAGCCUGGGCUGGCCUCUACGAACUCAAUCAGUGCUCACUGCCCCGCCCCCUGCUCCCCCCGCUCCCCAGUCCCCAGUGUCCCUCAAGGUGACAGGCUCAUUCUGGGUUGUGGAUUCCCAGGAGUGAGUCCUAAUUCUCUUUUGUUCCGCCUUCAUGUUCUAGGGGUCCCCUCACCUGUCCAGCUCUUUCCAAUUGAGUGGUGUUUGCUGCACAGUCACAGGUAGAGAUUGGAAGCGUGUUUUCAAACUUAACAUAAGAACCAUCUGGAGAGCUUGUGAAGGAUUUCCAACCUCUGUACCCAGCAGUCUGAUUCGGUAUGUCUGGGGUGGGGUCUGAGAGUCUGCACUGUCAAGAAGUGCCCCCGACAUUUCCUGUACAUUCAGAUCUGAGAACCACUGCUCUAGGACGUCACUCAGGCCCCAAGAGCUGCAGUAUCAAACUUUUUUUGACCACAAACCACAGUAUGAAAUUUUACACUAUGACCCAGGAUACAAAUAAAAGUUUGAUGAAACAUAUUUUCCCCAA